CCUACGGGUGGCAGCAGUCGAGAAUCAUUCACAAUGGGGGAAACCCUGAUGGUGCGACGCCGCGUGGGGGAAUGAAGGUCUUCGGAUUGUAAACCCCUGUCAUGUGGGAGCAAAUUAAAAAGAUAGUACCACAAGAGGAAGAGACGGCUAACUCUGUGCCAGCAGCCGCGGUAAUACAGAGGUCUCAAGCGUUGUUCGGAAUCACUGGGCGGAAAGCGUUCGUAGGCUGUUUCGUAAGUCGUGUGUGAAAGGCGCGGGCUCAACCCGCGGACGGCACAUGAUACUGCGAGACUAGAGUAAUGGAGGGGGAACCGGAAUUCUCGGUGUAGCAGUGAAAUGAGUAGAUAUCGAGAGGAACACUCGUGGCGAAGGCGGGUUCCUGGACAUUAACUGACGCUGAGGCACGAAGGCCAGGGGAGCGAAAGGGAUUAGAUACCCCGGUAGUC
rnacentral:rRNA from 1 species